rnacentral:rRNA from 1 species
AGAGUUUGAUCCUGGCUCAGAGCGAACGCUGGCGGCAGGCCUAACACAUGCAAGUCGAACGCACCUUCGGGUGAGUGGCGGACGGGUGAGUAACACGUGGGAACGUACCUUUUGGUUCGGAAUAACGCAGGGAAACUUGUGCUAAUACCGAAUGUGCCCUUCGGGGGAAAGAUUUAUCGCCAUUAGAGCGGCCCGCGUUAGAUUAACUAGUUGGUGAGGUAAAGGCUCACCAAGGCUACGAUCUAUAGCUGGUCUGAGAGGAUGAUCAGCCACAUUGGGACUGAGACACGGCCCAAACUCCUACGGGAGGCAGCAGUGGGGAAUCUUGCGCAAUGGGCGAAAGCCUGACGCAGCCAUGCCGCGUGAAUGAUGAAGGUCUUAGGAUUGUAAAAUUCUUUCAGUAGGGACGAUAAUGACGGUACCUACAGAAGAAGCCCCGGCUAACUUCGUGCCAGCAGCCGCGGUAAUACGAAGGGGGCUAGCGUUGCUCGGAAUUACUGGGCGUAAAGGGAGCGUAGGCGGGUUAUCAAGUUGGAGGUGAAAGCCCAGGGCUCAACCUUGGAAUUGCCUUCAAAACUGAUAGCCUAGAGUAUGAUAGAGGUAUGUGGAACUCCGAGUGUAGAGGUGAAAUUCGUAGAUAUUCGGAAGAACACCAGUGGCGAAGGCGACAUACUGGGUCAUGACUGACGCUGAGGCUCGAAAGCGUGGGGAGCAAACAGGAUUAGAUACCCUGGUAGUCCACGCUGUAAACGAUGAUUGCUAGUUGUCGGACGGCAUGCCGUUCGGUGACGCAGCUAACGCAUUAAGCAAUCCGCCUGGGGAGUACGGUCGCAAGAUUAAAACUCAAAGGAAUUGACGG